ACGCCUCUCUAUGGUUAUAGCCCCGCCGCGCUGCAUUGUGGGAGGCUGGCGGAGUUACUGGUGUCAGAGGAAAUAUGGCGGCGGUCGUGUUCUCCUUGAGACGUAGCGGGCCGGUGUUCCGGUUACCGGGAGUCCUGCAGGUUUGUCGUGGGGCACAGACAGCUGCCGCCGCUGCCCCCGCCUCCCAGGCAGAGGCUCGCAUCAAGAAAUUUGCCAUCUACAGAUGGGACCCCGACAAGCCCGGCGACAAGCCCCGUAUGCAGACUUAUGAGGUCGACUUGAAUGAGUGUGGCUCCAUGGUGCUGGACGCGCUGAUCAAGAUUAAGAAUGAGAUGGACCCCACCCUGACCUUCCGCAGAUCCUGCCGAGAGGGUAUAUGUGGCUCCUGCGCCAUGAACAUUAACGGGGGUAACACCCUGGCCUGCACCGUGAGGAUAGACACCAACCUGAGCAAAGUCUCCAAAAUCUACCCCCUCCCUCACAUGUAUGUUGUAAAGGAUCUUGUGCCUGAUCUGAGUAAUUUCUAUGCGCAGUACAAGUCCAUAGAGCCGUACCUGAAGAAGAAGGACGAGUCGCAGGAGGGCAAGGAGCAGUACCUGCAGUCUAUAGAGGACCGGGAUAAGCUGGACGGGCUAUACGAGUGCAUUCUGUGCGCCUGUUGCAGUACCAGCUGCCCCAGUUACUGGUGGAACGCAGAUAAAUAUCUGGGCCCGGCCGUGCUAAUGCAGGUAAGUGUCUCUCCGGCCCAGAAACCGCCAUCUUGGUAUGUUAUGGGGAAUAAAAUACACCCCAAUCUUUGUAAUGAAGCUGGCUACAUUGAUUCAGUAGUGAGAAACAGCAGUGCAGAGAAUGUAAACACCCAGACUUCCAGUGCAGAUCCAUGUUACAGCUGCCUAGGGCGCUGUAACCCCCCGCUGCAUACAGUAAGGAGAUUGCUGUUGGGUUUCAGGCCUAUCGGUGGAUGAUCGACUCCAGAGACGACUACACGGAGGAGCGGCUGGCCAAACUGCAGGACCCCUUCUCCCUGUACCGCUGCCACACCAUCAUGAACUGCACGCGCACAUGCCCCAAGGGGCUGAACCCGGGCAAAGCCAUCGCCGAGAUAAAGAAGAUGAUGGCGACGUACAAGGAGAGAGCGGCGUCGGUGUAGCACUGCUGCCUGGCGUGGCCCCCGCUGUGUGAUUCUACGCACAUCCGUCCUGGCAGCGGCGCCGCAGCUCCCCCAGCACUUUCUCUACUCCGCGUUGUGCCCGCCGGCUGCCAGCGAGGGAAUGUGCCCCCUGUGAUGUACAUUAAAUUGUUCAUUCUGGUAUUUACCCCUCCAAA